ACUUAUGUUUAAAUUAAACUUACCAAUACUGAAAGUAAAAAAUGUACAUAUUUAAGUAAAAAAACGGUUUUGGGUUCCUGAAAACGGUUUUGGGUAUCACCUUUCUCUUUAAAGUUAUCUACCUUCUUCUUAUUCAGUUCCCAGUUCCAAUGAUACGAUUGAAUUCCCAGGCAAAGGUUUCCACUUUGAUCCACACUUUCUCUUUGUUACAAUUGAAUAAAUCUUCUCACUUCAAAAUUUUCAUCUUUAGUUCACACUUUGCUUCUAUCCUUUCUCAUCGUUCGGUUGGGUUUGAGUGCUGCCAUAUGCAAACACAACAAAAGGGUUAGCGACGGUGGUAGCCAGCCAAAGAGCAUAUGAAAAAUAGCAGUGACGAGGUCAUUUGGACAUGAUAGACGAAAAUGUACUAAAGUGUGCACAGAUGCAUAUGAAACUCACAAUUAUGAUCAUGUUGGGGCACCCAAUAACGUUGAGAAUGUAAAUUUGAAUCUGAUAGGAUCAUCCGAUGGCCUAUUGCAAUCAGAUUCACAGCAUGGAUGCAAUAAGGAAUUAAUGGAUAGUAAUUGGUUUCAGAUCAUUCCUCCUGGUCAGUGAAUGAACCAGAUUUCAGCCAAGACCAUUAAGGAAUUUUAUUCUUGAGAGAGUACAAAUGUUUUUGCACGUCUUUGCUCAAAGCUUUUAGGAUGAUUUAAGUU